UAUCUUUACAUUUAUUUCACAAACUUUUCUCCAUAGCUGGUGACAUUUGCCUCUAGUUUAAAAUGGUUUCUUCUGUCCCUCCCUUGAUAAUGAGUAUAUUUGUCAAUGGUAACUAUUUGAAGAUGUAUUGUUUUAUAUUUCACAUUCAGAUGAAAAUUUUUUAUCAGAAAUGAUUUUUGUAUGGACCAAUAACAUAUGACUCAUGAUAAUGUGUGCUGCAUUAUUUUUCUACAUACAUCUCCAAACGAUCCAAUGCAAUUUGGUGAUGACUGUCUUUUCCUCCUGUUCCAUUUGUCAACUGUAUGAUAAACCAAAAGUUGACACAGAGGAUCAAACUCAAGACCUUAACAUGGUGUCUACUACUGAGCCACAUCCCCAGCCCAUUUUAAAAUUUCAUUUGGAGUCAGGGUCUCACUGAGUUGCCUUGGCUGGCUUUGAACCUGGGAUCCUCCUGCCUCAGCCUCCUGAGAAACUGGAUUACAAGUGUGUGCCACUUUGCCCAGCUCUGUGUUAUUUCAAUUAUGUGACAUUUGUUGAAACUUGCUUUAUGGCUCAGUAUAUUGUUAAUUUUUUAAUGAUAUGUACACUUGAAAAAAAUAAAUUCUGCUGUUUUAUGAUAA